AGUGAACGCUGGCGGUAGGCCUAACACAUGCAAGUCGAACGGCAGCACAGUGAGAGCUUGCUCUUACGGGUGGCGAGUGGCGGACGGGUGAGGAAUACAUCGGAAUCUACUUUUUCGUGGGGGAUAACGUAGGGAAACUUACGCUAAUACCGCAUACGACCUACGGGUGAAAGCAGGGGAUCUUCGGACCUUGCGCGAUUGAAUGAGCCGAUGUCGGAUUAGCUAGUUGGCGGGGUAAAGGCCCACCAAGGCGACGAUCCGUAGCUGGUCUGAGAGGAUGAUCAGCCACACUGGAACUGAGACACGGUCCAGACGCCUACGGGAGGCAGCAGUGGGGAAUAUUGGACAAUGGGCGCAAGCCUGAUCCAGCCAUACCGCGUGGGUGAAGAAGGCCUUCGGGUUGUAAAGCCCUUUUGUUGGGAAAGAAAAGCAGCAGGUUAAUACCCCGCUGUUCUGACGGUACCCAAAGAAUAAGCACCGGCUAACUUCGUG
rnacentral:rRNA from 1 species